rnacentral:rRNA from 1 species
UACGGGGGGAGCAAGCGUUGUUCGGAUUUACUGGGCGUAAAGGGCGCGUAGGCGGUCAGCACAAGUCAGUUGUGAAAUCUCCGGGCUUAACUCGGAAAGGUCAACUGAUACUGUGCGACUAGAGUGCAGAAGGGGCAACUGGAAUUCUCGGUGUAGCGGUGAAAUGCGUAGAUAUCGAGAGGAACACCUGCGGCGAAGGCGGGUUGCUGGGCUGACACUGACGCUGAAGUGCGAAAGCUAGGGGAGCAAACAGG